rnacentral:rRNA from 1 species
UACGGAGGGUGCAAGCGUUAAUCGGAAUUACUGGGCGUAAAGCGCACGCAGGCGGUCUGUCCAGUCGGAUGUGAAAUCCCCGGGCUCAACCUGGGAACUGCAUUCGAAACUGGCAGGCUAGAGUCUUGUAGAGGGGGGUAGAAUUCCAGGUGUAGCGGUGAAAUGCGUAGAGAUGCGGAGGAACACCGAUGGCGAAGGCAGCCCCCUGGGCUAACACUGACGCUCAGGCACGAAAGCGUGGGGAGCAAACAGG